rnacentral:rRNA from 1 species
UACGUAGGGGGCAAGCGUUGUCCGGAUUUAUUGGGCGUAAAGAGCGUGUAGGCGGCCAUACAGGUCCGUUGUGAAAACUGGAGGCUUAACCUCCAGACGUCGAUGGAAACCGUAUGGCUAGAGUCCGGAAGAGGAGAGUGGAAUUCCUGGUGUAGCGGUGAAAUGCGCAGAUAUCAGGAAGAACACCCGUGGCGAAGGCGGCUCUCUGGGACGGUACUGACGCUGAGACUCGAAAGCGUGGGGAGCAAACAGG